rnacentral:rRNA from 1 species
AUGGACGAAAGUCUGACGGAGCAACGCCGCGUGAGCGAUGAAGGCCUUCGGGUCGUAAAGCUCUGUUGUUAGGGAAGAACAAGUACCGGAGUAACUGCCGGUACCUUGACGGUACCUAACCAGAAAGCCACGGCUAACUACGUGCCAGCAGCCGCGGUAAUACGUAGGUGGCAAGCGUUGUCCGGAAUUAUUGGGCGUAAAGCGCGCGCAGGCGGUCCUUUAAGUCUGAUGUGAAAGCCCACGGCUCAACCGUGGAGGGUCAUUGGAAACUGGGGGACUUGAGUGCAGAAGAGGAAAGCGGAAUUCCACGUGUAGCGGUGAAAUGCGUAGAGAUGUGGAGGAACACCAGUGGCGAAGGCGGCUUUCUGGUCUGUAACUGACGCUGAGGCGCGAAAGCGUGGGGAGCAAACAGGAUUAGAUACCCUGGUAGUCCACGCCGUAAACGAUGAGUGCUAAGUGUUAGAGGGUUUCCGCCCUUUAGUGCUGCAGCUAACGCAUUAAGCACUCCG